AUUGCCAAGGUUGGGAAAAAGCACCAAUGCUUUCAAUCUCCAAUGAAUAUAUCAUUCAAGAUUAUUUUUUCUCACUCUUGUUCAUUUGUCUGGACUAUUUGUGGAGCUGUGGACUCUUCAUUAACUGGGCAAACAAGAACCCCCGGACCCUCUCCCUCCCUGCAGGUGGAUCCGUCCUACCAGAAGAAGAAGCCUCGGUCCCCUUGCCUCCCUUUUGCCCCUCAGACCAUCCACACAGCAGGAUUAAGAGAUCCAUACAUAAGAAGUGGGUCAAAUGAACACAGUGAACAGGAAGUCCUGCACACUCUCUCUUCCUGUAGGAAGAAUGAACGCAGACCCCUAGUCCCCCAUCGAGCAUUGGCAGAGCUUCCACAGAGAGCAGAGAAAAAAACAGCCCAGUAUAGAAAGACUGAGAUCAUCACUGGAGGUCCACAGGUUUUAAAUGCAGGAUUCUCCUGCCACCUGCUGGUAAGCACUUCCAAGCUCUUCUUAAGAUUCUUUCACAAGAUUCAUUCAAAGACUGUGGACUCUUAUCGAAGCUUAUGUACCGGAUUUUAUUGUUAAAACAGAUAAAAGUAGGAAUAUACAAAAUGUUCACAGCCCUAAAUAUUUCAUUUACCUGUAUUGUAUUGUAUAUUAUUUAUAGGCAGUCUGUUAGUCAGCUAAAAGACUACUAAUUUAGAGUGAGUGGGCGGGGCUCAAACUCUGUAGUCUGAAUAAACAUAUGAAACAUCCUGUGAUUUUGGAUCA
rnacentral:lncRNA from 1 species